rnacentral:lncRNA from 1 species
CAGGUCCCCAGGCUCCCAGGCCCCCAGGCUCCCAGGCUCCCAGGCCCCCAGGCUCCCAGGCCCCCAGGCUCCCAAGCUCCCAGGCUCCCAGGCCCUUAGGCUCCCAAUCUCCCAGGCUCCCAAGCUCCCAGGCCCCCAGGCUCCCAGGCUCCCAGGCUCCCGGGUCCCCAGGCUCCCAGGCCCCCAGGCUCCCAGGCUCCCAGGCCCCCAGGCUCCCAGGCUCCCACACCCCCAGGCUCUCAUGCUCCUAGUAACACAAGCUCCCAACGAAAACAAAUGGACUUCUCAAUUUUGAAUGUAUAGCCAGGUGAAGUUCGACCCUUCAUAGUGGACCGGAAAGUGCAUGGCACUCCCUUAGGGAGCCGGAGAAAGCUGUUUACAUCGAACUAUCCAGUCAUAAGAAGCCAUUAUCCUAAUUCUGUAGGAAUCAAGACAAUUUAAACGUGGAAAUCCCCUCUGGAAGCAAAUGGACUUCCCAUUUUCGAAUGUACAGCGAAAGUAGUCAAGCGACUGUAUGCCGUGCAUAAGCAGUCUGGAAAGGAUUUGAACUUGAUGCUAUUUAGCCCAGCACAAGUAAUAUCCAACCUUGACCACGGAUCUGGAGCAACCGCUGACGGAAGAGAAGAAAUGAACAAUGAACACAACAUAAUACAAAAAUGCAAAAUAUACACGGACAUAAAGUUAAAGAAAUGAAUACGACUUAGCCAGCUUGGCUGCUGGACUGCCAUGCUUGCACAGUCGAACUACCUCGCUCACAUAGACCGCGGUUAGCUGCUUGCAUGAAUAAACAGAAUGGUUCCACCUCAAAUAUAUUUGCCGUUGGUGCCUUUCAUUUGCGCCAGCCAAUCUCUUGGCAGUACAGCGGCGACCCACACUCUGGGAAAAAGGGGGGGUCGAGAUUCCAUAAAAUGAGGCUCUCUUUUUCCAUAGAAUGAGGUCCUAUUUUUCCAUAAAAUGGCAUGUCCUUUUCCAUAAUAUCUCCACAAUUUUAUGGAAUGCGGCCACGCCCCACUGCCAAAAAAGGCGGGCGGUAGCCUUUCACCCCAGGAAGACGGUUGGUAACCUGUACGGCAGUACUACAGGGCCGAGAAUGGUGGGCGGUUACCUGUACGGCAGUCCAGCUACCUUUCACACCGGCGCUGACCUUGAAGGCAGUCCACACGAGAAAAAAAGGCGGGUGUGACCUGUCAUGUUAAUCUUUAUGCUAUGUGUUGAAAGGUUACAGUGUAGGAGUUUUCUGGGCCCCUGGAACACAAUGUCAUUCCUAGCCACUAUACAGCACCGUCCACCAUGACUACAACUGCUGUACUAACUGUGAGUCCAAGGCCGGUGACCCCUGUCGCCUAGGCUCCCUUCUCGUCCAUUCACACCAAUACACUGCGCGAAUCUGGUCCAUCAAUUCCACAUCUCGGAAGCUAGCCAUAAUCCCCGGCUCCAAGCAAUGUCAUGGGUUCGCAGACAUCGAACCCAGGACUUUGAACUAAUGCUAAAGGGUGGCAGCAGCAGGGACAAGAAACCCAACCAAAAAUGAAGUAAUG